CAGUAGCCGCGGGAAUACGUAGGUCCCGAGCGUUGUCCGGAUUUAUUGGGCGUAAAGCGAGCGCAGGCGGUUAGAUAAGUCUGAAGUUAAAGGCUGUGGCUUAACCAUAGUACGCUUUGGAAACUGUUUAACUUGAGUGCAAGAGGGGAGAGUGGAAUUCCAUGUGUAGCGGUGAAAUGCGUAGAUAUAUGGAGGAACACCGGUGGCGAAAGCGGCUCUCUGGCUUGUAACUGACGCUGAGGCUCGAAAGCGUGGGGCGCAAACAGGAUUAGAUACCCGUGUAGUCCCUGUCUCUUAUACA
rnacentral:rRNA from 1 species